UGUUACACCUUUAGUUAAAAAGCCCAUUUACCUGCUCUGUGUUGUACACUUGAACACUGCCACUGGACUGAGAACUCUCCACAUCUGCUACCUGUAGACACAGGAUAUAAACAACACAAUGGACUGGAGACUGGUACUGGCUAUUUUAUGUCUGACUGCUGCAAGUGCUAUGGCAGACACUUCAACAAACACGUCAACAAACACUUCUGUACCGGCUGCAGCAUUCAACUUGUCCUUUAGCAUCAAUGAAACCUUUUAUCCAGCACUGGCCAAUAUCAGCUCUCCAAAUUUUACAGCAAAAGCUGAAAGUAUCCGUAAUCAGCUUGAACCAAUUUACAGA